rnacentral:rRNA from 1 species
CCUACGGGAGGCAGCAGUGGGGGAUAUUGGACAAUGGGGGGAACCCUGAUCCAGCGACGCCGCGUGAGUGAAGAAGUAUCUCGGUAUGUAAAGCUCUAUCAGCAGGGAAGAAGAAAUGACGGUACCUGAGUAAGAAGCCCCGGCUAACUACGUGCCAGCAGCCGCGGGAAUACGUAGGGGGCAAGCGUUAUCCGGACUUACUGGGUGUAAAGGGAGCGUAGACGGUGAUGUAAGUCUGGAGUGAAAGGCGGGGGCCCAACCUCCGGACUGCCUUGGAAACUGUAUGGCUGGAGUGCAGGAGAGGUAAGUGGAAUUCCUAGUGGAGCGGUGAAAUGCGUAGAUAUUAGGAGGAACACCAGUGGCGAAGGCGGCUUACUGGACUGUAACUGACGUUGAGGCUCGAAAGCGUGGGGAGCAAACAGGAUUAGAUACCCCAGUAGUC